CCUACGGGUGGCAGCAGUGGGGAAUAUUGCACAAUGGGCGAAAGCCUGAUGCAGCAAAGCCGCGUGAGUGAUGAAGGCCUUCGGGUCGUAAAGCUCUGUCCUCAAGGAAGAUAAUGACGGUACUUGAGGAGGAAGCGCCCGCUAACUACGUGACAGCAGCCGCGGUAAUACGUAGGGGGCUAGCGUUAUCCGGAAGUACUGGGCGUAAAGGGUGCGUAGGUGGGUUAUUAAGUCAGAGGUGAAAGGGUACGGCUCAACCGUAGUAAGCCGUUGAAACUGAGGAACUUGAGUGCAGGAGAGGAGAGUGGAAUUCGUAGUGUAGCGGUGAAAUGCGUAGAUAUUAGGAGGAACACCAGUUGCGAAGGCAGCACUCCGGACUGUAACUGACACUGAGGCACGAAAGCGUGGGGAGCAAACAGGAUUAGAUACCCCAGUAGUC
rnacentral:rRNA from 1 species